rnacentral:rRNA from 1 species
UGGGGAAUAUUGGGCAAUGGACGAAAGUCUGACCCAGCCAUGCCGCGUGAAUGAUGAAGGCCUUAGGGUUGUAAAGUUCUUUCGCCGAUGAAGAUAAUGACGGUAGUCGGAGAAGAAGCCCCGGCUAACUUCGUGCCAGCAGCCGCGGUAAUACGAAGGGGGCUAGCGUUGUUCGGAAUUACUGGGCGUAAAGCGAGCGUAGGUUGCUCGACAAGUCAGUGGUGAAAGCCCAAGGCUCAACCUUGGAACUGCCAUUGAAACUGUCGAGCUGGAAUCUUAGAGGGGGUAGCGGAAUUCCAAAUGUAGGGGUGAAAUCCGUAGAUAUUUGGAGGAACACCGGUGGCGAAGGCGGCUACCUGGCUAAGUAUUGACACUGAGGCUCGAAAGCGUGGGGAUCAAACAGG